rnacentral:rRNA from 1 species
CAGCAGUCGCCACGGUAAUACGAAGGGUGCAAGCGUUACUCGGAAUUACUGGGCGUAAAGCGUGCGUAGGUGGUGGUUUAAGUCCGUUGUGAAAGCCCUGGGCUCAACCUGGGAAUUGCAGUGGAUACUGGGUCACUAGAGUGUGGUAGAGGAUAGUGGAAUUUCCGGUGUAGCAGUGAAAUGCGUAGAGAUCGGAAGGAACAUCUGUGGCGAAGGCGACUAUCUGGGCCAACACUGACACUGAGGCACGAAAGCGUGGGGAGCAAACAGGAUUAGAUACCCCUGUAGUCCCUGUCUCUUAUAC